UACGAAGGGGGCUAGCGUUGUUCGGAUUUACUGGGCGUAAAGCGCACGUAGGCGGAUUGUUAAGUCAGGGGUGAAAUCCCGGAGCUCAACUCCGGAACUGCCUUUGAUACUGGCAAUCUUGAGGCUGGAAGAGGUUAGUGGAAUUCCCAGUGUAGAGGUGAAAUUCGUAGAUAUUGGGAAGAACACCAGUGGCGAAGGCGACUCACUGGACAUGUAUUGACGCUGAGGUACGAAAAGCGUGGGGAGCAAACAGG
rnacentral:rRNA from 1 species